GACGGAAGGUGCAAGCGUUGCUCGGAAUCACUGGGCGUAAAGGGCGCGUAGGCGGAUCUUUAAGUCGGGGGUGAAAGCCUGAGGCUCAACCUCAGAACUGCCUUCGAUACUGCGGGUCUCGAGUCCGGGAGAGGUGAGUGGAAUUCCUAGUGUAGAGGUGAAAUUCGUAGAUAUUAGGAAGAACACCAGUGGCGAAGGCGGCUCACUGGCCCGGUACUGACGCUGAGGCGCGAAAGCGUGGGGAGCAAACAGG
rnacentral:rRNA from 1 species